UGAUAUACGCUCAAAUGGUUCAAUAAACU
rnacentral:sRNA from 1 species